GACGAACGCUGGCGGCGUGCCUAAUACAUGCAAGUUGAGCGCUGACGGUUGGUACUUGUACCAACUGGAUGAGCAGCGAACGGGUGAGUAACGCGUGGGGAAUCUGCCUUUGAGCGGGGGACAACAUUUGGAAACGAAUGCUAAUACCGCAUAAAAACUUUAAACACAAGUUUUAAGUUUGAAAGAUGCAAUUGCAUCAUUCAAAGAUGAUCCCGCGUUGUAUUAGUUAGUUGGUGAGGUAAAGGCCCACCAAGGCGAUGGUACAUAGCCGACCUGGAGGGGUGAUCGGCCAACAUGGGACUGAGACACGGCCCAAACUCCUACGGGAGGCAGCAGUAGGGAAUCUUCGGCAAUGGACGAAAGUCUGACCGAGCAACGCCGCGUGGGUGAAGAAGGUUUUCGGAUCGUAAAACUCUGUUGGUAGAGAAGAACGUUGGUGAGAGUGGAAAGCUCAUCAAGUGACGGUAACUACCCAGAAAGGGACGGCUAACUACGUG
rnacentral:rRNA from 1 species